rnacentral:misc_RNA from 1 species
AAGUCGUAACAAGGUUUCCGUAGGUGAACCUGCGGAAGGAUCAUUAUCAUAAUCCGAAACUUUUUUUAAUAUUCGAAAGGAUAUUAAAAAAUAUCAACCAACCGUGAACUGUUUGCCUCCAAUAGGGGAAAAGAACGGGUUCUUUUUGGAGCCUUUAGUAUUUUCUUUUAUUGGUUGUAUUUUUAUAAUAAUUUUAUUAUUAUUAUUAUUAACCCUUCUAACAAAAACAUUUUAAACUUAAUUCUGAACUGAAUUAAUUUUCUUUUUUUCCUUUCGGGGGAAAAAUUAAAAUAAAAAUACGAAAAAUUAUAAGAACAACUCUUAGCAACGGAUAUCUUGGUUCUC